rnacentral:rRNA from 1 species
AUGGGCUGCAUCCCGCUGCAGCGGCUCCUGCAGAGGUCCUCCACGGCGUGCCAGGAGUCCACCAACAAGCUCGCCCUCAGCUUCAACAAGCAGGCCGGCGCGGUGAUCAAGCAGCUGGCGGCGUCGCUGCCCAACGCGACGUUCCAGUUCGGGGACGUCUACGACUACUUCCAGGACACCAUCGACCGGCCCUACAUGCACGGCUUCAACAAAUCCCACGCGCCCUGCUGCACUCUCGGGAAGGUGCGGCCGACGCUGACGUGCACCCCGCUCUCCACGCUCUGCAAGGACCGCAGCAAGUACGUGUUCUGGGACGAGUACCACCCCACCGACAGGGCCAACGAGCUCAUCGCCCUCGAGACGCUCAAGAGGCUCAACAUCACCGUCAUCCAGAGGUUCUCGCUGUACAAGCAGAUCGAGCUGUUCCAGGGGACGCAGGCCUUCAUGCGGGAGAAGAUCGAGCGGGCGGCGGCGGACAAGCUGUUCGGCGAGGCAUACUACGUGGUGGCCAUGGGCGCCAACGACUUCAACAACAACUACCUGCUCCCCGUCUACUCCGACUCGUGGACCUACAACGGCGAGACCUUCGUCAAGUACAUGGUCACCACCCUGGAGGCCCAGCUCCGGCUCCUGCACGGGCUGGGCGCGCGCCGGGUCACCUUCUUCGGGCUAGGGCCCAUAGGCUGCAUCCCGCUGCAGCGGCUCCUGCAGAGGUCCUCCACGGCGUGCCAGGAGUCCACCAACAAGCUCUCCCUCAGCUUCAAUAAGCAGGCCGGCGCGGUGAUCAAGCAGCUGGCGGCGUCGCUGCCCAACGCGACGUUCCUGUUCGGGGACGUCCACGACUACUUCCAGGACAUCAUCGACCGGCCCUACAUGCACGGCUUCAACAACUCCCACGCGCCCUGCUGCACUCUCGGGAAGGUGCGGCCGACGCUGACGUGCACCCCGCUCUCCACGCUCUGCAAGGACCGCAAUAAGUACGUGUUCUGGGACGAGUACCACCCCACCGACAGGGCCAACGAGCUCAUCGCCCUCGAGACGCUCAAGAGGCUCAACAUCACCGUCAGGUUCUCGCUGUACAAGCAGAUCGAGCUGUUCCAGGGGACGCAGGCCUUCAUGCGGGAGAAGAUCGGGUGGGCGGCGGCGGACAAGCUGUUCGGCGAGGCAUACUACGUGGUGGCCAUGGGCGCCAACGACUUCAUCAACAACUACCUGCUCCCCGUCUACUCCGACUCGUGGACCUACAACGGCGAGACCUUCGUCAAGUACAUGGUCACCACCCUGGAGGCCCAGCUCCGGCUCCUGCACGGGCUGGGCGCGCGUCGGGUCACCUUCUUCGGGCUAGGGCCCAUGGGCUGCAUCCCGCUGCAACGGCUCCUGCAGAGCUUCAACAAGCAGGCCGGCGCGGUGAUCAAGCAGCUGGCGGCGUCGCUGCCCAACGCGACGUUCCAGUUCGGGGACGUCUACGACUACUUCCAGGACAUCAUCGACCGGCCCUACAUGCACGGCUUCAACAACUCCCACGCGCCCUGCUGCACUCUCGGGAAGGUGCGGCCGACGCUGACGUGCACCCCGCUCUCCACGCUUUGCAAGGACCGCAGCAAGUACGUGUUCUGGGACGAGUACCACCCCACCGACAGGGCCAACGAGCUCAUCGCCCUCGAGACGCUCAGGAGGCUCAACAUCACCGUCGUUGCCAACACCACCUCCAGCUAG